UUGUGAUGCGCAAGGAUAUAAAAACAAGAUUUAAAAUUUUAUCAGAAAACUGAAAACGUCUUAAAAAUUGGAACAAAAUAGAAAAUUCUAGAACUGAAAAAUACAAGGACAAAUUGAGAGUACCAUGAAUUUGUUUAUGGCAAGGUAGAAACAGCUGAAGAGAGGAUUAAUAAACUGGAAGAUAGAUAGGCCAGAGGAAAAUAUCCAGAUGGAAGCAAGCAGAGACAAAAGAGAGGGUAUAAGAUAUGGAGGAGACAGUGAAAGGACUAGCAUUUCAGAGGGAGAGGACAGAAGGAACGGACAGAAGCAAUAUUUGAAGAGACAGCAGCCAAGAAGCUUUACGGAUAUUUUGUGUUAUAUGCUGAUAUUACAGCUUUUCCCAAAAUUCAAUAGGAGCUUUGAUCUACGCUCACGUUUGUGGUAGACACACUCGAGAAGUGGCCCCCAUGACUUCCUUCCCCAGUCCUGGAGUUCACACCCUCGAGUGUGGGAAGACCUGGGACUUCUUCUAACCAACCGACCACCACACAGACGGCCAGAUGUGCAAGGUUACAACCACAUAAGACUUUAGCAUCAGUUUGGCUGGAGUCUGGCUCUCUCUGCCUUGCUGGCUUUGAGGACGCAAGUGAUCCUCUUGGAUAACCCCAUGUGGCAGGAACUGGAGGGUGCCUCUGGGGCAGAAGGGGGGCCCGGCUAACAGCCAGUGAGAAACUGAAGUCUUCAGUCAAAUGCUUGCAAGAAACUGAAUUCUUCCCACAACCGGGGUAGGCUUGGAAAUGAUCCUCCUGCAGGCAAACCUCAGAUGAGAACACAGCCCGUCCGACACCCAGAUUCCUGCCUGGCUGAGACUCUAAACAGAGGAUCCGUCUAAGCUGUCCCUGGACUCUAUUUCUUAUUGACACAUGAAAAAGCUCAUGGGAGACUGUGUUUCUAAAAUUGGAACAGAAUAACCAUACCAAGUACUGGCAAGGAUGUGGAACAAGGGCAACGCUCACACACCGCUUGGGGAGAUGCAAAAGGGUACAGCCCCUCUGGGAAACAGGGCUACCGUUUCUUAAAGGUUAAACAUUAAAGCAACAAUGAGAUACCCCUCUACUCUUAUUAAAAUGGCCCAAAUCUGAGACAAUGCCAGCAUCACAGCUGGCGAGGGUGUGGAGCAACAGGAACUCUCGUUCGCUGGUGGUGGGAAUGAAAAAUGUGCAGCUACUUUGGAAGACAGUUUUUGGUGUUUUUUACAAACUUAACAUAAUCUUAACAUAGGAUCCGGCACCCACGGUAUUUACCUUGGUAUUUACCCAAAUGAGCUGAAAACGUGUCCACACAAAAACCUGCACACAAAUGUUUAGAACAGCUUUAUUCAUAAUUGCUCAAACUUGGGAGCAACCAACGCAUCCUCCAGUAGGUGAAUGAAUAAAUAAACUCUGGUACAUCGAAACAGUGGAAUAUUAUUCAAUGCUAAAAAGAAAUGCGCUAUCAAGCUAGGAAAAAACACAGCGGAAUCUUAAAUACAUAUCACUAAGUGAAAGAAGCCAGUAUGAAAAGUCCACAUGUAUGUCCCACAACCCAGAUGCCCCUCAGCGGGUGAGUAGACACACUGUGGUCUGUCCGCACCAAGGAACACCUCCCAGCAAUAAACAGGAGCAGCUGCUGGGGUGUGCCACAGCCUGGAUGGGCAGAAAAAGCUUAGGGAAAGAAGCCAGGUUGGAAAAGCUUCUGGCUGUAUGAUUUGCUUUAUAUGAUAUUCUCAAAUAGACAAAAUUAUACGAUGGGGAGCAUGUCGGGGGCUGCCGGGGACUGCCGAUGGAAAGGUGUGACCCUGAAG
ensembl:lncRNA